UCUGUCGUCUCCAAGGAUAUAAUGCAUAGACCUCGACGUCGCCCCGUGUUUAAUCUUGGAGCCUGAGGUCCUGUUCCGUCGCCAAGGAUGAAAUCCUGGAGAAAACGUGCACAACGUGCAGCUUGCGCCUACCGAUCCCAGUCCAGCAGAUGACAUAUUUCCACUGUGGCUCAGUCCCUUGUGGGAGUCAGGCCCCCCAGGCCGGGCGACCCUCAAGGCCCAAUAUGUGGUGUUAUGGCCCCGACCCCACCCCACAUCGCUCCUCAGAAAUGCUAGUACCCUCCAAGCCUCACCCCAGAGACGGCAUUGCCUUCGCACCUACACCUGUUUAGGCCCGCCAGCGCCGUCGGGGGCCUUUGGAAUACAGUGUCAUGGUCUCUGAGAGCCAAUAUAUCUGGGUUACACCGAAACAGGAAUAAUGAGGCAAUAUUGACAUUGUACAUUGAAGAUGACCUGAAAAGCUGGAAGAGGGGACUGAGGGAAUUUUCUCAGUGUGGAAGAGGAAGAGGGGAGGAAGAUGGAAGAUGACAGUAUCUCUAAGUGCCUAGAUUUGACUUCAGCACAUGAACUUGAUUUUACGAUUCUGUC